UCGCUUAACUGUGUCGGUGGAGAUGGCGUUGAUACAGCUACUGCUAUCAAUGAUCACCUUACAAAUUUUAUCAUCAAAUUUUAUGAAGGUAUAGAAAAUAGAGGUCCUACGCCAGUCUUCACUUUCCUUAGUUUGUGCUAGGACAUACCUAACGACUCCAAGCCUAAGGUCUAACUCAGGUGCGGCAUAACCUAGGAUGUCCUCAGUACUCUCAAAUUGCUC
rnacentral:lncRNA from 1 species